rnacentral:rRNA from 1 species
AGUACGUGAAACUGCUUAGAGGUUAAGCCCGAUGAACCUGAAUAUCCAUUAUGGAAAAUUCAUCACUAAUAAUAUGAUAUUUAUAAUAUUGUAUAAAUAGUGUGCAAUUUUUCCAUAUAAGGACAUUGUAAUCUGUUAAUGUAAUAAAUAUUUAUCAAAAGAUUCAUUACUUAAGUUUAUUCAAAUUAGUUAUUUUCGGAUUUCUAACAUAGAAUAAAUGUUUUGAAUUUGAUAAAUCAUUGACAGAUAUAAUUAAAUAAUGUGCUUAAAUUUUUCGGAAUUUUAUCAAUGAUAAAUAAAUCUAUUGAUUUGUUUAUUUAUUGUAUGCACUAUUAUGAUUAACAAUGCGAUAGAUUCAGGAUACCUUCGGGACCCGUCUUGAAACACGGACCAAGGAGUCUAACAUAUGUGCAAGUCAUUGGGUAUUUUUAAUAAAACCCAAUGGCGUAAUUAACUUAACUGUUAUUUAUAAUGGGAUUAGUUUAUAUUUUGUUAUGAAAUAUGAAUCCAAUCCCGGGGCGUUCUAUAUAGUUAUGUAUAAUGAUAUUUAUAUUAUUUAUGCCUCUAACUAGAGCGUACCUUGAGC